rnacentral:lncRNA from 1 species
UUUUUCUCUCCAUUCUUCUCUUUCUUCUCUUUCCUUUUUUCUCUUGUUUUCUUCUUUCCUUUCUCCCUUUCCUCUUCUUUCCAUUUUUCUAUCCUUUCACCUCUCUCCUGUUUUUCUCUUUCCUUUUUCCUCUCAUAUUUUCCUUCCUAUUUUCUUUUUCCUUUUAUUUUCCUGCCUUCUUUUCUUUCUUUGUUCUUCUUUCCUUUGUCUCUUUCCUGUUUGCCUCUUUCCUUUCUUCUUUCCUCUUUUCUUUCCCUUAAUUCCCGUUCCUUUUGGGCUCUUUUCUUUUUUCUUUCCUUUUGCCUUUUGCCUUUUCCUUUUCUUUCUUUUCCUUUUUCUUUCCUUUUUUUCUCUGCCUUGUUUCUUUUUUGCCGCUUUCCUUUCACUUUCCUUUAUCGCUCUUUUCCUUCCUUCCUUUCAUUUUCUGUUCUCUUCCUUUUUUCUGUGGCUUUCCUUUUUCUUUCUUUUCUCUUUCCAUUCYGCCUUUCCUCUUUUCUUUCCAUUUUUCUUUUUGCUCUUUCCUUCUCUUUCCCUUUUUGCUUUCUUUUUUCCCUUGUCUUUGUUUUCUUGCCUUUCCCUUCCUUUUGCUUUUCCCUUUUUUCUUUCCUUUUUUCCUGUUCUUCUUUCUCCUUUUGUUUCUUUUUGCUUUCCUUUUUUUCUAUAUCCUUUUUUCUCUUCCCUUUUUUCUAUACUCUCUUGUCUCCUCAUUUUUUUCUCUUUCCUUUUUUUCUUUCCUUUUGUCUUUCUCAGUUCUCUCUUUCCUUCUUUCUCUCAUCUUUUCAUUCCUUUACUCUGUUUCUUUUUAUAAGGCUGCUGCCAAGGCCUUUUUUUCCCUCUUGCCUUUUCUUUCUUUCCUUGCCUUUUCUUUCUUUCUUUGUUUUUCUCCCAUUUUUUCUUGUCUUUCCUUUUCUAUCCUUUUCUUCCCUUUUUUCACUUUACUUCUCUCUCCUUUUUCUUCUCUUCCCUUUUCUCUUUGGUUCUUUCUCUUCCUUUUUUUCAUUUCCUUUCUCUUUCCAUUUUCUCUUUCCAUUUUCUCUCCUGUUUCUUUCCCCGUUUCUUUCCUUUUUAUCUCUUUUCUCUCUUUCCUUUCUCCUCUUUCCUUUUUUUCACUUUUUUUUUCUAUUUCUUUUCUUAUCUUCCCAUUUUUAUUUUCUUUCUUUUCUCUUUCCUUUUUUUUUUCUCUUUCCCGUUUUUACAGAUUAG